GGGGUGUAGCUCAGUUGGUCAGAGCAGUCGACUCAUAAUCGAUUGGUCGCGGGUUCAAGUCCUGCCACCCC
rnacentral:tRNA from 1 species